AGAGUUUGUAGUCCUGGCGUCAGGAUGAACGCUGGCGGCGUGCUAACACAUGCAAGUCGAACGGGAACAGAAUGAACUAGUGAUUUUGUUUUAGUGGCGGACGGGUGAGUAACGCGUGGGUAACCUGCCGUAUACAGGGGGAUAACACUUAGAAAUAGGUGCUAAUACCGCAUAAGCGCACAGCUUCGCAUGGAGCAGUGUGAAAAGCGUAAACGGUAUACGAUGGACCCGCGUCUGAUUAGCUAGUUGCGGGGUAGAGGCCCACCAAGGCGACGAUCAGUAGCCGGCCUGAGAGGGUGACCGGCCACAUUGGGACUGAGACACGGCCCAAACUCCUACGGGAGGCAGCAGUGGGGAAUAUUGCACAAUGGGGGGGACCCUGAUGCAGCGACGCCGCGUGAGUGAAGAAGUAUUUCGGUAUGUAAAGCUCUAUCAGCAGGGAAGAAAAUGACGGUACCUGACUAAGAAGCCCCGGCUAACUACGUG
rnacentral:rRNA from 1 species